AGCGAACGCUGGCGGCAGGCCUAACACAUGCAAGUCGAACGCCGUAGCAAUACGGAGUGGCAGACGGGUGAGUAACACGUGGGGAUCUGCCCGAUGGUACGGAAUAAUUCCGGGAAACUGGGACUAAUACCGUAUGAGCCCGCAAGGGGAAAGAUUUAUCGCCAUCGGAUGAACCCGCGUCAGAUUAGCUAGUUGGCAGGGUAAAGGUCCACCAAGGCGACGAUCUGUAGCUGGUCUGAGAGGAUGAUCAGCCACACUGGGACUGAGACACGGCCCAGACUCCUACGGGAGGCAGCAGUGGGGAAUAUUGGACAAUGGGCGCAAGCCUGAUCCAGCCAUGCCGCGUGAGUGAUGAAGGCCUUAGGGUUGUAAAGCUCUUUCGCCGACGAAGAUAAUGACGGUAGUCGGAGAAGAAGCCCCGGCUAACUUCGUGCCAGCCGCCGCCGUAAAAC
rnacentral:rRNA from 1 species